UGGGAGAUGAGAGACUUCAAUGCAUAGAAGGCUAAGGAGACUCUCUGGUGAUCUUAAUUAGCCUUUAAUUGAUACCCGAUCCGCCGGCCUCCUGCGUCCUCUCCUGCCGGUCCCGCGCGCACGGAGCCAGGGACGGAGGCCCGACUGCCGGCCGUCUGGUGGCUGCGCCAGAUCCCACUUCAGAGACUCCUGACCACCCGGACUGCGCGCUGCAGGCCGCCUCCUCGGAGAGGAGCCCAGCACUGUCCCGGAACCCCCCACGCCUGCUUCUGGGGCCCGCAAGGACCUCUCGGGCCCCAGGUCUGUGCCGUGCUGCCCACCGGCAGCCGGCACCCCCAGAGGUGACAGGG